rnacentral:lncRNA from 1 species
CCCAGUAUAGGACGCCUUGACAACAUAACAAUACAGCCAAAUAUCGAUAAUAAUCCAUGAGCUAUUAACAUAUAGCACCAGCCGAUAAAACCGCCUUCCAAAAUUCUUUCGAUUUCAUAAAUUCUUGCAAAGAGCAAACAUUGUUUGCAUUCGACCAGACCAAUAAUUUGCAAGAUUACAGCCAGUAGGUGUACUGGGAUUAAUGUCACUAAGACUACAGUUUGAAAUGAUACAAACAUUGUUUACAUCCGACCAGACCAAUAAUUUGGAAGAUUACAGCCAGUAGUUGAACUUGGAUUAAUGUCACUAAGACCACAGUUUGAAAUGGUACAGUUGUAGAUAAUAUACGACGAAAAACAAAUGAAAUUGACUGGAUUAUUUAAUAUUUU